rnacentral:rRNA from 1 species
GAUGAACGCUGGCGGCGUGCCUAAUACAUGCAAGUCGAGCGAACAGACGAGGAGCUUGCUCCUCUGACGUUAGCGGCGGACGGGUGAGUAACACGUGGAUAACCUACCUAUAAGACUGGGAUAACUUCGGGAAACCGGAGCUAAUACCGGAUAAUAUAUUGAACCGCAUGGUUCAAUAGUGAAAGACGGUUUUGCUGUCACUUAUAGAUGGAUCCGCGCCGCAUUAGCUAGUUGGUAAGGUAACGGCUUACCAAGGCAACGAUGCGUAGCCGACCUGAGAGGGUGGUCGGCCACACUGGAACGGAGACGCGGUCCAGACUCCGACGGGAGGCAGCAGUAGGGAAUGUGCCGCAAGGGGGGAAAGCCGGACGGAGCAACGCCGCGUGAGUGAUGAAGGUCUUGGGAGCGUGAAACUGGGUUAUGAGGGAGGAAGGGGUGGGGAGGGAGGGAGGCAGGUGGUGAGGGUAGCGAGUCAGAGAGCCGCGGCUAACUACGGG